AAGGUUGUCCCAACGUUUCAACCCCUAAGGGUCUUUUUCAAGGUCCAUGGACCUUGAAAAAGACCCUCAGGGGUCAAAAUGUUGGGACAACCUUGAAAUAAAAAUA